GACGAACGCUGGCGGCGUGCUUAACACAUGCAGGUCGAACGGAAAGGCCCUGCUUUUGUGGGGUGCUCGAGUGGCGAACGGGUGAGUAACACGUGAGUAACCUGCCCUUGACUUUGGGAUAACUUCAGGAAACUGGGGCUAAUACCGGAUAGGAGCUCCUGCUGCAUGGUGGGGGUUGGAAAGUUUCGGCGGUUGGGGAUGGACUCGCGGCUUAUCAGCUGGUUGGUGGGGUAGUGGCUUACCAAGGCUUUGACGGGUAGCCGGCCUGGGAGGGUGACCGGCCACAUUGGGCCUGAGAUACGGCCCAGACUCCUACGUGGGGCAGCGGUGGGGAAUAUUGCACAGUGGGCGGAAGCCUGAUGCAGCAGCGCCGCGUGCGUGAUGACGGCCUUCGGGUUGUAAACCGCUUUCGCCUGUGACGAAGCGUGAGUGACGGUAAUGGGUAAAGAAGCACCGGCUAACUACGUG
rnacentral:rRNA from 1 species